rnacentral:tRNA from 1 species
GGCUGUAACUCAGUGGUAAAGUGCUUGCCUCACAUGUGUGAGGCACUGGGUUCAAUCCUCAGCACCA